rnacentral:misc_RNA from 1 species
GGAGCUUAUUACAAGAAUCUGUAUGGAGGAGGAAGGAGGGGAGGUAGAGGCGGAGGAAGAGGUGGUUAUCAGCAAAGGAACAACUACAGGGGUGGAAGACCGGAUUCUGCUUCGUACCACAGGGACUAUGAGGGCUCAAGAACCUCGGAGGAUCUGGCUUAUAUACUUGCUGAUUUAGAAGGAAAAAGCUACAAGGCCUACCAUGAUAUUUUAGGUAAUGUGGCAUUUAGACAUGCAAAUGAGACAUGGUUUGAGAGGCCUUCUUAACUACCUGUGUUGACACAUCUGUGGAGAUCAUUAUCAUAUGCCUCUAAAGGAAUGAUAAAUUAUAAUUAUUAUUUAUGUAAACAGUAGCCUCCAUUUG